AAAUUGAAGAGUUUGAUCAUGGCUCAGAUUGAACGCUGGCGGCAGGCCUAACACAUGCAAGUCGAACGGUAACAGAAAGCAGCUUGCUGCUUUGCUGACGAGUGGCGGACGGGUGAGUAAUGUCUGGGAAACUGCCCGAUGGAGGGGGAUAACUACUGGAAACGGUAGCUAAUACCGCAUAACGUCGCAAGACCAAAGAGGGGGACCUUCGGGCCUCUUGCCAUCGGAUGUGCCCAGAUGGGAUUAGCUAGUAGGUGGGGUAAUGGCUCACCUAGGCGACGAUCCCUAGCUGGUCUGAGAGGAUGACCAGCCACACUGGAACUGAGACACGGUCCAGACUCCUACGGGAGGCAGCAGUGGGGAAUAUUGCACAAUGGGCGCAAGCCUGAUGCAGCCAUGCCGCGUGUAUGAAGAAGGCCUUCGGGUUGUAAAGUACUUUCAGCGGGGAGGAAGGGAGUAAAGUUAAUACCUUUGCUCAUUGACGUUACCCGCAGAAGAAGCACCGGCUAACUCCGUGCCAGCAGCCGCGGUAAUACGGAGGGUGCAAGCGUUAAUCGGAAUUACUGGGCGUAAAGCGCACGCAGGCGGUUUGUUAAGUCAGAUGUGAAAUCCCCGGGCUCAACCUGGGAACUGCAUCUGAUACUGGCAAGCUUGAGUCUCGUAGAGGGGGGUAGAAUUCCAGGUGUAGCGGUGAAAUGCGUAGAGAUCUGGAGGAAUACCGGUGGCGAAGGCGGCCCCCUGGACGAAGACUGACGCUCAGGUGCGAAAGCGUGGGGAGCAAACAGGAUUAGAUACCCUGGUAGUCCACGCCGUAAACGAUGUCGACUUGGAGGUUGUGCCCUUGAGGCGUGGCUUCCGGAGCUAACGCGUUAAGUCGACCGCCUGGGGAGUACGGCCGCAAGGUUAAAACUCAAAUGAAUUGACGGGGGCCCGCACAAGCGGUGGAGCAUGUGGUUUAAUUCGAUGCAACGCGAAGAACCUUACCUGGUCUUGACAUCCACGGAAGUUUUCAGAGAUGAGAAUGUGCCUUCGGGAACCGUGAGACAGGUGCUGCAUGGCUGUCGUCAGCUCGUGUUGUGAAAUGUUGGGUUAAGUCCCGCAACGAGCGCAACCCUUAUCCUUUGUUGCCAGCGGUCCGGCCGGGAACUCAAAGGAGACUGCCAGUGAUAAACUGGAGGAAGGUGGGGAUGACGUCAAGUCAUCAUGGCCCUUACGACCAGGGCUACACACGUGCUACAAUGGCGCAUACAAAGAGAAGCGACCUCGCGAGAGCAAGCGGACCUCAUAAAGUGCGUCGUAGUCCGGAUUGGAGUCUGCAACUCGACUCCAUGAAGUCGGAAUCGCUAGUAAUCGUGGAUCAGAAUGCCACGGUGAAUACGUUCCCGGGCCUUGUACACACCGCCCGUCACACCAUGGGAGUGGGUUGCAAAAGAAGUAGGUAGCUUAACCUUCGGGAGGGCGCUUACCACUUUGUGAUUCAUGACUGGGGUGAAGUCGUAACAAGGUAACCGUAGGGGAACCUGCGGUUGGAUCACCUCCUUACCUUAAAGAAGC
rnacentral:rRNA from 1 species